CAGACGGGUGAGUAACGCGUGGGAACAUACCUCUUGGUUCGGAACAACACAGGGAAACUUGUGCUAAUACCGGAUAAGCCCUUACGGGGAAAGAUUUAUCGCCGAGAGAUUGGCCCGCGUCUGAUUAGCUAGUUGGUGUGGUAAAGGCGCACCAAGGCGACGAUCAGUAGCUGGUCUGAGAGGAUGAUCAGCCACAUUGGGACUGAGACACGGCCCAAACUCCUACGGGAGGCAGCAGUGGGGAAUAUUGGACAAUGGGCGCAAGCCUGAUCCAGCCAUGCCGCGUGAGUGAUGAAGGCCUUAGGGUUGUAAAGCUCUUUUGUACGGGAAGAUAAUGACGGUACCGUAAGAAUAAGCCCCGGCUAACUUCGUGCCAGCAGCCGCGGUAAUACGAAGGGGGCUAGCGUUGCUCGGAAUCACUGGGCGUAAAGGGUGCGUAGGCGGGUUUUUAAGUCAGAGGUGAAAUCCUGGAGCUCAACUCCAGAACUGCCUUUGAUACUGAAAGUCUUGAGUAUGGGAGAGGUGAGUGGAACUGCGAGUGUAGAGGUGAAAUUCGUAGAUAUUCGCAAGAACACCAGUGGCGAAGGCGGCUCACUGGCCCAUUACUGACGCUGAGGCACGAAAGCGUGGGGAGCAAACAGGAUUAGAUACCCUGGUAGUCCACGCCGUAAACGAUGAAUGCCAGC
rnacentral:rRNA from 1 species